rnacentral:rRNA from 1 species
UAGUCCACGCUGUAAACGAUGAGUACUAGCUGUUGGAUCUGGUGUAAAAGAUUUAGUGGCGCAGCUAACGCGUUAAGUACUCCGCCUGGGGACUACGGCCGCAAGGUUAAAACUCAAAGGAAUUGACGGGGACCCGCACAAGCGGUGGAGCAUGUGGUUUAAUUCGAUGCAACGCGAAGAACCUUACCUGCCCUUGACAUCCAUAGAAGACGAAAGAGAUUUUGUUGUGCCUUCGGGAACUAUGAGACAGGUGCUGCAUGGCUGUCGUCAGCUCGUGUUGUGAAAUGUUGGGUUAAGUCCCGCAACGAGCGCAACCCUUAUUUUUAGUUGCCAUCAUUAAGUUGGGCACUCUAGAGAGACUGCCGCUGAUAAGGCGGAGGAAGGUGGGGACGACGUCAAGUCAUCAUGGCCCUUACGGGCAGGGCUACACACGUGCUACAAUGGGCAUUACAGAGGGCAGCAAAAUAGCGAUAGGGAGCGAAACUCUUCAAAGGUGUUCGUAGUCCGGAUU